rnacentral:rRNA from 1 species
GUGAACGCUGGCGGCGUGCCUAACACAUGCAAGUCGAACGAUGAUAGGAAGCUUGCUUCCUUGAUUAGUGGCGCACGGGUGAGUAUACCAUAGAUAAUGUACCUCUUAGUUCGGGAUAGCCACUGGAAACGGUGAUUAAUACUAGAUACACCUUUUUAACAUAAGUUAAAUCGGGAAAUGUCUUUUCGCUUCGAGAUCAGACUAUAUCCUAUCAGUUAGUUGGUGAGGUAAUGGCUCACCAAGGCAAUGACGGGUAGCGGUUCUGAGAGGAUGAUCCGCCACACUGGUACUGAGACACGGACCAGACUCCUACGGGAGGCAGCAGUGAGGAAUAUUGCACAAUGGGGGGAACCCUGAUGCAGCAACGCCGCGUGGAGGAUGACGCAUUUCGGUGUGUAAACUCCUUUUAUAUGUCAAGAAAAUGACGGUAGCAUAUGAAUAAGCACCGGCUAACUCCGU